UACGAAGGGGGCUAGCGUUGCUCGGAAUGACUGGGCGUAAAGGGCGUGUAGGCGGUUUGUACAGUCAGAUGUGAAAUCCCCGGGCUUAACCUGGGAGCUGCAUUUGAUACGUACAGACUAGAGUGUGAGAGAGGGUUGUGGAAUUCCCAGUGUAGAGGUGAAAUUCGUAGAUAUUGGGAAGAACACCGGUGGCGAAGGCGGCAACCUGGCUCAUUACUGACGCUGAGGCGCGAAAGCGUGGGGAGCAAACAGG
rnacentral:rRNA from 1 species